rnacentral:rRNA from 1 species
CUCCGGGCGGUGGAUCACUUGGCUCGUAGAUCGAUGAAGAACGCAGCCAACUGCGUGAAGUAUGGCGAAUUGCAGGGCUUCAUGAAACCGCUACAUGUCGAACGCAUAUUGCGGCCCUGGCUUUCGGGUCAGGGCCACAUCCACCUGAGGGUUGA